AAUGUCCGGGUGCAGCCAAGGAUGACUUGCCGCCGGCCAACCGUUGGACCCCAUGCAUGGAUCAUCCGUCGGCAAGUUGUCCUUGGCUACAUUCUUCAUUAU
rnacentral:pre_miRNA from 2 species